GACGAACGCUGGCGGCGUGCCUAACACAUGCAAGUCGAACGGAAAGGCCCUGCUUUUGUGCGCUGCUGGGGGGGCGAACGGGUGAGUAACACGUGAGUAACCUGCCCUUCACUUUGGGAUAACUUCAGGAAAGUUGGGCUAAUACCGGAUAGGAUCUCCCGCUGCUGGGUGGGCGUUGGAUAGUUUCGGCGGUUGGGAGUGGACUGGCGGCUUAUCGGCUUGUUGGUGGGGUAGUGGCAUACCAAGGCUUUGACGGGUAGCCUGCCUGGGAGGGUGGACGGCCACACUAGGCCUGGGCUACGGCACAGACUACAACCGGAGGCAAGGGUGGAGAGUGUUGUACAGUGGACGGGAGCCUGAGGCGACACCGCCGCGUGCGGGAUGACGGCCUUCGGGUUGUGAACCGCUGUCGCUUGUGACGAAGCGUGAGUGACGGUACUGGGUGAAGAAGCACCGGCUAACUACGUG
rnacentral:rRNA from 1 species